GACGAACGCUGGCGGCGUGCUUAACACAUGCAAGUCGAACGGAAAGGCCUCUUUCGGGGGGUACUCGAGUGGCGAACGGGUGAGUAACACGUGAGUAACCUGCCCUUGACUUUGGGAUAACUUCAGGAAACUGGGGCUAAUACCGGAUAGGAGCUCCUGCUGCAUGGUGGGGGUUGGAAAGUUUCGGCGGUUGGGGAUGGACUCGCGGCUUAUCAGCUUGUUGGUGGGGUAGUGGCUUACCAAGGCUUUGACGGGUAGCCGGCCUGGGAGGGUGACCGGCCAAAGUGGGACUGAGGUACGGCCCGGACUCCAACGGGGGGCAGAGGGGGGAGAUUUUGAACAAGGGUGGGAAACCUAGGUCGCGACGGCCGGGGGGGGAAUGGCGGCCUUGGGGUUUUAAACCGUUUUCGCCAUUGACAAAGCUUGGGUGGCCGGUAGUGGGUAAAGGACCGGCGGUGAGCUGGUG
rnacentral:rRNA from 1 species